rnacentral:rRNA from 1 species
GCCGGUCUUAAGCCGGAGGAAGGUGGGGAGUGACGUCAAGUCAGCAUGGCCUUAUGUCCUGGCAACACACACGCUACAAUGGCCAACACAAUAGGUUGCUAAGCCGCGAGGUGGAGCCAAUCCUCAAAGUUGGUCUCAGUUCAGAUUGCAGGCUGCAACCCGCCUGCAUGAAGAUGGAGUUGCUAGUAACCGCAGGUCAGCUAUACUGCGGUGAAUACGUUCCCGGGGCUU